rnacentral:rRNA from 1 species
AUGGACCGGGAACACUCGGCUUUGAAGAAAAUGAGAUUGGAGGACGCAGAGGAUUCUGCGAUCAGUCAAGUGCCUGCCACGGCGUCGAGCAUGCAUCAGCAAUUGUUCUGGAGCCAGUGGCAGCUACUGGACUCCAUUCUCCCCACGGGCGGUUUCGCACACUCCUACGGCCUGGAAGCUGCUAUGCAAUCGCGCAUAGUGAACAACCAGGAAGACCUGAGGCUGUUCCUCAUCCAGGUCUUGGACAACAUUGGAAGCCUGCUGCUUCCAUUCGUCUACUGCGCCAGUAGGUCUCCUGAGGCUGCAGCGUGGGUUAAGCUAGAUCAGCUGCUGGACGCUACACUGACAAAUGAGGUCGGCAGGAAGGCGUCCACGUCGCAAGGCUCGGCUCUGUUGAGGGUGGCCGCGUCUGUCUUCACUGAGAUCCAGCCGCUGCAGGAUCUCCGACGGACAUUUCUCGGUUCCAUGAGUGUGUCGUUACACCAUGCACCGAUAUUCGGGUUGAUAUGUGGGCUGGUUGGAUUUGACAGCGAGACAACGCAGCGUGCUUACAUGUUUGUGGCAAUGAGGGAUGUGAUCUCCGCCGCGACGAGGCUCAAUUUGAUCGGACCGCUUGCUGCUUCGGUUCUGCAGCACCAGGUUGCGCCAGAUGCCGAGAAGAUGCUGCAAAAGUGGAAGGACCGUGAUGUCUCUGAAGCAUCACAGACUGCGCCGCUGCUUGACGCGUUGCAAGGCUGCCAUGCUUACAUGUUCUCUAGGCUGUUUUGCUCCUAA